UUGUGUAGUUAAGAGUUUCAGCCAUUCAGUGAUUGUGCAUCUCAGUAUUGUAUUUCAGACUUUGAGUGAUGAGGUGCUUAGUGCUUUUCUCAUGUUCUGAAUUGCAGAUUUGACUCACUUAAUAGUGGCACUGUAUCAUACUUGAGUCAAAAUGUUGGUGUGAAUUUUGUGGAAGGAGAGCCUGAUGUAAUGCCGUGGCAGCCGAACAAUUGAUGAAAACUAAUGGAUCGUGGCAACACAUGGAUGUGUUAAUCAUCUACUUUUUCCAUGACGCAGUGUAACUGUGGACAUUUCGAUCACUGGUAGCUGGAUGGUGUCAAAUUUUCGAAGUGAAGUGGCUGUUAGGCUGUGUAAAAAGUUCGAUGGCCUUAAGAGCUUGCAAACUGUAGACAAGAAGAUCAAGCUGGGCCAAGGUGCAUAUGGAUCUCCAUUUCUGUCUAAGAACAAUUGAAUGACGGAAGGUACGAUUGAUAAAUCGACGAUUACUGACAUUUCCGGUCUACCCAGAGCCGUAGUGCCCGAGUUCAAGGUGAACAAGGGAUACUAAGAGAAUCGAACUGAAGAUAAUGUUAAUGAGAUGGCAGAGGAAGAUGCUAAGUCUACUUCAUAUUGAUUAUUGGGCGGUUGAUUGCUUUAUGAAUUAAAACGGAAAUCAAUUUUUCAUUCUGUCCAUAUUCAAGAAAAACCCAUAAGGUUCAG